UUCCUGCGUCUCGCGGCGGGCCGCCGGGAGCACAUGUGUGUGUUCUCCGUGACAUUCUUGAAGUUGUGAGUAAUUAGAUUGUUUUUUGCUGCGUUUAGGUCGUACCACCUCGUUGAUUUCGUGUACUUUUGUGCUCAUCGACGCGAAGUGAGCGUCUGGAGUGAAGGCGACGCGAUUAUGCGUGAGAAAGAAGGGCACCAGCGGCCUACGACAUCGGUGUUUCUUUGUGACAGUGUGUUUACUACGCCUACGACGGCCGUCAUUCGUGGCGAAGGAGAAAACAUCUUCCAACAGUGAUGAAGUGGACGUUUUGUUUUUCGGCGGAAUGCAUCGUCAACAUGGUCCAUCCACUACGUAAACGAAACGGCGUGCCCAGAGUACAGAUCGUGACAGCGCUCCGCCUUCAAACCGAGGGCCUUUUGCAAGGCGCAUGAACUGCUCAUAUAAAAGUUGCAGUCAGCAUGAAGCAAUUGCAUGGGAACCGACUGGCUGUCUUGGGCCUACACGUUGCUGAAAAGACAGUGAAGACGUCUGACCCGACAGGUAGAAAAGAAGCAGAUGGCUACAGUGAUCAAUGAAGAAAUGUCUUCAUCUAUGAUGGCUCGCCUUAGGACAUUGGAAUGGAGCUACAAAAAGGCAUCAUCAUCCUCGCCUGUGCCCUGGAACUUUGGUUUGAAUGAGACUGUUCUUCAAUGUAGAACGGCCGCAAGACUUGUCACCACAAGGCAUAGUGCAAGCUCAAAAUAUUGUACAGGAGGCUAGAAUAAAUGACCCUCCAUGCAGUCACUCUGUAUCUGUGAUAAAUGGGACCAUUUCACGCAGAACAUUCACAAGUGAUAAUGUGUUUUCUCUCAAAGUUGCUAUGCAGUGCGUUUGUAAACACAUUACCUAUUGUAUGCACACCAUACAUAACAUUUCUGUGUGCUAGCCUAACUGUAGACUUAGAAACAAACAAUGAAGUGCAUAUGUACC